rnacentral:rRNA from 1 species
UACGAAGGGGGCUAGCGUUGCUCGGAAUCACUGGGCGUAAAGGGUGCGUAGGCGGGUCUUUAAGUCAGGGGUGAAAUCCUGGAGCUCAACUCCAGAACUGCCUUUGAUACUGAGGACCUUGAGUUCGGGAGAGGUGAGUGGAACUGCGAGUGUAGAGGUGAAAUUCGUAGAUAUUCGCAAGAACACCAGUGGCGAAGGCGGCUCACUGGCCCGAUACUGACGCUGAGGUGCGAAAGCGUGGGGAGCAAACAGG